GCACAUGCGCAGAAUCAUCGUGGUGCACGGCUCUCCCGUUGCUUCUUCGGUUGCAGUCCUCUUGGCUUCUUGCGCGUGCGUGUAGCGCUUUUGCAAAGCCGCGGAGGUGAAGCUAACGUAGAGGCUGUGGGGCCAAGGGGUCCUCUUAUAGCUAUCAGCCCACAGGCAUUUAGUCUACGUUGGAGGUAAACAAAUACGGGUCCAGCUUAGGAGAAAACAAAAACGUCUUACAGCCAGUGUCUAAACUCCAAACAACGGAAUGUAUCAAUGAGACCUUGUAUAUGGAUACACGUGCAUUUAAAACCGCCCUGCCGGCGUGUAGAGCUCUUGCCGUUCGCCAGCGCUUUACAGGGGUUAUCGCACUUAAGCCUCGGAACAACUUUACCAGAUGAGGACACCUGAGGCUCAGAUUACGAAAUCUGCCCCAAAGUCUUAGAACUGGUAUUCUCCACUGGUUGAAUGCAAAUGGAAGCCAGAGGAAAAGGGAACCCUUGACACAGUUUUCAUAUAGACUGGCCUCCAGGGCAGACAGCAGGAGGGGGGUUUAAUCUGGACUGAAUUGGAGGAAAGGAACUGGCACCAGAGUGGAGGCUGGAAGGAUGGUGGAACUGACACUGGGACAGAACACAGAAAACAGAAUAUAAUGCUAUUGCUCUGGCUGUAUCAAAUAAAAGUGUCAAGAGUGAGCAUCCUUGCAUUGUGCUGAAUCACAGAGGAAUACCUUUCAAUUUUUCUCCAUUGACUAUGAUAGCAGUGGGCUUUUCACAUGUGGGCUUUACUGUGUUGAGGUACCCUAAUGAUAAGUUCACCCCAGUGUUUUCUGAGGAGUCUACCUGGAAAUGAGAACCAUCUGUCCUUCCUAUAGUAGUUCUUCUCAGAAUGCCGACUCUAUGCUAAUGGAGGAGGUCUGAUGGCCGGGAGGAUGGGAAGAAGGAACCCACAAUGAAGCAAAAGUCACGUUUAACUCUGUCCUCACCAUUCCUCUCCUGGGCCUGUCCUAAACUGGAAGCUGGGGGAGGAUGGAGUGCUGGAAUGCUGUAGAAGUCUCAUGGGAGGGCGCCUGGUGUUCACCACAUGUGUACACUGUUGCACGACCAGAUGAAAAUUUGAAUGCUGGGGCUCAGUGGAACACCUGAAGGAAGCUGGUGAGGCAGAUGUCCCGCCAUGCCUUCCAAGUGUCAUGCAACCAGUUCAUGCCUGUCAGCAUCUCUACCGGUAGACUCUGUGAGUCAGCAAAUCUACAGAGCAGAGAGCCACAGGUGGGGACAGAUGUGGUCAAAUGCCAUUUAAAUCAGUGAUUCUCAGCCCAGGAGUUGUCGUGGCACUGGCCUUGAGUGAGCUGGACCAAGCAAAGCGGUAGAAUUCCCCAUAAAGGACCAAGUGAGCAGAUAGAAGUUUCUCCAUUUUAACUUUUUCUGAGUCAAUUUAACAAACAACCUAGUGCCUUUUUCUGU
rnacentral:lncRNA from 1 species